rnacentral:rRNA from 1 species
GACGAACGCUGGCGGCGUGCUUAACACAUGCAAGUCGAACGGUAAGGCCCUUCGGGGUACACGAGUGGCGAACGGGUGAGUAACACGUGGGUGAUCUGCCCUGCACUUCGGGAUAAGCCUGGGAAACUGGGUCUAUACCGGAUAGGACCACUGCCUGCAUGGGUGGUGGUGGAAAGCUUUUGCGGUGUGGGAUGGGCCCGCGGCCUAUCAGCUUGUUGGUGGGGUGAUGGCCUACCAAGGCAACGAUGUUUAUCCGGUCUGAGAGGAUGAUCGGACACACUGGAACUGAGACACGGUCCAGACUCCUACGGGAGGCAGCAGUGGGGAAUAUUGCGCAAUGGGGGAAACCCUGACGCAGCAACGCCGCGUGAGUGAGGAAGGACUUCGGUCUGUAAAGCUCUGUUAAUGUGGAAAAAUGGUUAGUGGUCUAAUAGGCCAUUGAUUUGAUGGUACACAUAGAGGAAGCACCGGCUAACUUCGUGCCAGCCGCCGCAGUAA